AAGUCGUAACAAGGUUUCCGUAGGUGAACCUGCGGAAGGAUCAUUAUUGAAUUAUAUGCGAAGGUUGUAGCUGGCCCCUCGGGGUAUGUGCACGCCCUAGCUCUUAAUCCACUUACACCUGUGAACCCUAAUGUGGGAGGAUGUCUUUCGAGAUGAACUCUCAUGUCUUUCAUAUACCCUUACGAAAGUCUUAGAAUGUCAUAUCUUGCUUUAACGCAAUUUAAAUACAACUUUCAACAACGGAUCUCUUGGCUCUC
rnacentral:misc_RNA from 1 species